UACGUAGGGGGCGAGCGUUGUCCGGAGUUACUGGCGUAAAGCGCACGCAGGCGGUCUGUUAAGUUUGGAGUGACAGUUGGUGGCUUAACUGCCAAAGUGCUUCGAAAACUGAGAGACUUGAGGGCUUCAGAGGGACACGGAAUUCCGGGUGGAGUGGUGAAAUGCGUUAGAGAUCCGGAGGAACACCAAAGGCGAAGGCAGUGUCCUGGGGAGUACCUGACGCUCAGGUGCGAAAGCCAGGGGGAGCGAACGGG
rnacentral:rRNA from 1 species